rnacentral:rRNA from 1 species
CGAGGGGCAGCGCGGGAUAGCAAUAUCCUGGCGGCGACCGGCGGAAGGGUGCGUAACGCGUGAGCGACAUGCCCGUUGCCCGGGGACAACCGGUGGAAACGCCGACUAAUCCCCGAUGGGAUACGAUGCUUCGUGGCAUUGUAUUGAAAGUUACGGCGGCGACGGAUUGGCUCGCGUCCGAUUAGCUUGUUGGCGGGGUAACGGCCCACCAAGGCUACGAUCGGUAGGGGUUCUGAGAGGAAGGCCCCCCACAAUGGGACUGAGACACGGCCCAUACUCCUACGGGAGGCAGCAGUGAGGAAUAUUGGUCAAUGGGCGGAAGCCUGAACCAGCCAUGCCGCGUGCGGGAAGGAGGCCCUAUGGGCUGGGAACCGCUUUUGCCCAAAAACAAUAAGGGCGUCGCGCACGUCCGAAAAAAAAACCAUGUUAAUAAGCAUCGGCUAGGUCCAAACCAGCAGCCGCGGUAAUACGGGGGAUGCGAGCGUUAUCCGGAUUCAUUGGGUUUAAAGAGUGCGUAGGCUGUGCGUCAAGUCGGGGGUGAAAUUCCGGUGCUCAACACCGGGGCUGCCCUUGAUACUGUCGCGCUGGAGUGCGGAUGCCGCCGGAGGAAUGAGUGGUGUAGCGGUGAAAUGCUUAGAUAUCACUCAGAACACCGAUUGCGAAGGCAUCUGGCGAAUCCGUAACUGACGCUGAGGCACGAAAGCGUGGGGAUAGAACAGGAUUAGAUACCCUGGUAUUCCACGCCGUAAACGAUGAUGGCUAACCGCCGGCGACACACUGUCGGUGGCCAAGCGAAAGCGAUAAGCCAUCCACCUGGGGAGUACGUCGGCAACGAUGAAACUCAAAGGAAUUGACGGGGGCCCGCACAAGCGGAGGAACAUGUGGUUUAAUUCGAUGAUACGCGAGGAACCUUACCCGGGCUCGAACGGCACCUGGAUCGCCCAGAGAUGGGCGAGUCUUCGGACAGGUGUCGAGGUGCUGCAUGGUUGUCGUCAGCUCGUGCCGUGAGGUGUCGGCUCAAGUGCCAUAACGAGCGCAACCCUUGCCGCCAGUUGCCAUCAGGUGAUGCUGGGCACUC